rnacentral:rRNA from 1 species
GACGUAGGGCGCGAGCGUUGUCCGGAUUUAUUGGGCGUAAAGAGCGUGUAGGCGGCUCGGUAAGUCCGUUCUGAAAGUCCAGGGCUCAACCCUGGGAUGCGGAUGGAUACUGUCGGGCUUGAGUACGGGAGAGGCGAGUGGAAUUCCUGGUGUAGCGGUGAAAUGCGCAGAUAUCAGGAGGAACACCUAUGGCGAAGGCAGCUCGCUGGGACGUUACUGACGCUGAGACGCGAAAGCGUGGGGAGCAAACAGG